rnacentral:tRNA from 1 species
UAACAAAUAAAUUUCAGAGUGGUAUAAUUUUCCCUUAGCAUGGGAAAGGUCCUGGGUUCGAUUCCCAGAUUGUCCAUAA